GAACCAGAAUAGUGCUGAGUCAUUUCUUCUGGCUUCAAGAUUCCCCUGGAAGGAGGCUCUGGAUGCUUGGCCCAGGAGUAGGCCACCGGUCUUGUUUGGGAGUAGAGAAGGAAAGCCCAGUGAGGUCCAAUCUCAAUUGGGUUACAAAUUUUCCAGAAAACUUGCUCUGAGUUAAUGCCCAAGAAGAGAAGAAAUGAUUUGAACAGCUAAAUAUGUGAGACCUUGUGUCAGGCUUUUUCGAGUUGAUCUCUCAAUUUGACAAAAUGUACAUCUUUGUAGAACUAAAAAGUUCAAUAGCUGCUUUGGUGUGUGUUUAGUUUGAUUUAGUCCCAGUUUCUGCUUUUCUUUCUAGACUCUCUCUGAUGUUUUUCAACCUUAGCCAUGUCUUUUCAUUCCUGUCAUUCUCUUCUAU
ensembl:lncRNA